rnacentral:rRNA from 1 species
AUUGAACGCUGGCGGCAUGCCUUACACAUGCAAGUCGAACGGUAACAGGUCAAGCUGACGAGUGGCGAACGGGUGAGUAAUCCAUCGGAACGUGCCCAGUCGUGGGGGAUAACGUAGCGAAAGCUGCGCUAAUACCGCAUACGAUCUCUGGAUGAAAGCGGGGGACUCGCAAGAGCCUCGCGCGAUUGGAGCGGCCGAUAUCAGAUUAGGUAGUUGGUGGGGUAAAAGCCCACCAAGCCGACGAUCUGUAGCUGGUCUGAGAGGACGACCAGCCACACUGGGACUGAGACACGGCCCAGACUCCUACGGGAGGCAGCAGUGGGGAAUUUUGGACAAUGGGCGAAAGCCUGAUCCAGCCAUGCCGCGUGCAGGACGAAGGCCUUCGGGUUGUAAACUGCUUUUGUACGGAACGAAACGGCUCUCUCUAAUACGGGGGGCUAAUGACGGUACCGUAAGAAUAAGCACCGGCUAACUACGUGCCAGCCGCCGCCGUAA